AAGAGUGGUAUGCAUGUCUCCACAAAGUCAGCAGCAAGCAGCAGCAUUGCUAUGAAGUCCAAUCAAGUCAUUUCUACUCAGUGACCUCUGCUUUUGUGGAUUGAGUCUUGUUGAACUGGACUCAGAUUUUAAAGUUAACAAAGAAGACAGCAGGAUGUGAUACUAGCAUGGGAGAUGGCAGUUUUCCAUAGAUGACAGAGAAUUGUAUAGCAAGGUGAUGGAUACCAUCACAAGGACAAACCAGCAAGGAGAUAAAAGAUACAAGAGCAACCAUGCAGCAAGAAAUAAAUGGAAAGGUUUACACUCUUUAAAAUGUGGAUCACCAUGCCGUGUUUGAAGCUAUAGGGCUUUGCAAAGAAUUUUGCUUGAAGAGACCAGCAAACACCUGAGAUUGAGGUGAUUGACUUGUAGAGUGAGUCAUAAGUAUAGAGGUGCUGAGAAUCCAGAAAUAAUCUACAGAAGGGAGAAAUAAG